AGGUUGUGAUGUGGGCAUUUCCUCAACAAAUCUUUAAGUCUCUUCCAUGCCUCAAAUAAUGAUUCAGUGUCCAACUGUGCAUAUGCUAUAAUCUCUUAUCGCAACUU